UGGGGAAUUUUGGACAAUGGGGGAAACCCUGAUCCAGCCAUCCCGCGUGUGCGAUGAAGGCCUUCGGGUUGUAAAGCACUUUUGGCAGGAAAGAAACGUCGCGGGUUAAUACCCCGCGAAACUGACGGUACCUGCAGAAUAAGCACCGGCUAACUACGUGCCAGCAGCCGCGGUAAUACGUAGGGUGCAAGCGUUAAUCGGAAUUACUGGGCGUAAAGCGUGCGCAGGCGGUUCGGAAAGAAAGAUGUGAAAUCCCAGAGCUUAACUUUGGAACUGCAUUUUUAACUACCGGGCUAGAGUGUGUCAGAGGGAGGUGGAAUUCCGCGUGUAGCAGUGAUAUGCGUAGAUAUGCGGAGGAACACCGAUGGCGAAGGCAGCCUCCUGGGAUAACACUGACGCUCAUGCACGAAAGCGUGGGGAGCAAACAGGAUUAGAUACCCUGGUAGUCCACGCCCUAAACGAUGUCAACUAGCUGUUGGGGCCUUCGGGCCUUGGUAGCGCAGCUAACGCGUGAAGUUGACCGCCUGGGGAGUACGGUCGCAAGAUUAAAACUCAAAUGAA
rnacentral:rRNA from 1 species